AGUGAACGCUGGCGGCAGGCCUAAUACAUGCAAGUCGAACGGCAGCACAGCAGAGCUUGCUCUGUGGGUGGCGAGUGGCGGACGGGUGAGGAAUACAUGGGAAUCUGCCCAGUCGUGGGGGAUAACGUAGGGAAACUUACGCUAAUACCGCAUGCGCCCUUCGGGGGAAAGCCGGGGACCUUCGGGCCUGGCGCGAUUGGAUGAGCCCAUGUCGGAUUAGCUAGUUGGCGGGGUAAUGGCCCACCAAGGCGACGAUCCGUAGCUGGUCUGAGAGGAUGAUCAGCCACACUGGAACUGAGACACGGUCCAGACUCCUACGGGAGGCAGCAGUAGGGAAUAUUGGACAAUGGGCGCAAGCCUGAUCCAGCCAUGCCGCGUGGAGGAAGAAGUCCUUCGGGCGUAAACUCCUGGACUGGGGACGAGUAAGGAACGGUACCCCAGUAGAAAGGGACGGCGUAACUACGUGCCACGCAGCCGCGGUAAAGAGUAGUACA
rnacentral:rRNA from 1 species